CCAUGGUAUGAGCUGGUUUAGAGGAAGAGAAAGGCUCUUUGCCCCAAGCAUCCCUUCUACCAGCCUGAAAGAAUGACUGGAAUGACCUCAUUACCCAUCCUACUUCUUUAAUACAUUGAAAGCCUCUGAUAAAAUGUGAAGCUUUAAUCAAAAAGAAGUAUCAUCUUAAGCUUAAUUUAGUUCUGAGCCAAGCAUAAGGAAAGGGACACCAGACAGGUGAGAAAACUGAGGCUCUGAGAUGUUAAGGACCAUCUUCAAGUUCACACAGCUAAGUAAAUAGUAGAGCCAAGGAUCCAAACACAGGGACUCCUGAGCCACCCAAGUACUGUAAAUGCAAACCCCCGAUCCACCCAUAUGAAGGUGAUCAUGUGAUGAUGAGAUUACAAGGGACACUUCCUUUUCUUCUACUCAUAGCCCAGGCUCAACAUAUAACCUUAUGGGCCAUCUUCCUUAGCAGGACACCACUGUCAAUCAGCCAGGAAGAAGGCUCACACCAGGAACUAAAUCCUCCAGCACCCAGAUCUUGGCCUUCUGGCCUCCAGAACUAUGAGAAAUAAAUGUUUGCUGCUUACACCACCCUGUUGAUGGCAUUUUGUUGCAGCAGCCCAAGCAGACUAAUACUAUAACUGGAAUGGCUUUUGCUAAGGUUCUCUCAGAGAAAACCACUGGCUACACAACUUACAGUAGACAAAUCCACAAAUAACACAGAUAGGGAGAAAUUGGGGGGGGGGGAACCAUGGAUCAUGGGAUAGAAACCAGAAAUACAAUCAUAAUUUAACUCAAGCAUCUUUACACAGGUCACAGACACCUGAGGUAUUUGGGUUUUUAAAAAGUGAGGUUACGUGUUGAGGUAUCAGGCACCUCAUGUGCUCUUCAGAAUCAUUCUUUCAGGAAGCCUGUCUUAGCCUCCCACUGGCUUCUUCCUGAAGCUUUAGGAGUUUGCUCUACAGAAAUAUUUCCAGUGACAGCCUCUUCCACCAAGCCCUAUCUGUGCAAUGUAGGUAUGAGUAUAUAUUCUUUUCUGGUCCCCGUGGAAUAACAAGAA